UGGGGAAUAUUGCACAAUGGGCGAAAGCCUGAUGCAGCAACGCCGCGUGAGUGAUGAAGGUCUUCGGAUUGUAAAGCUCUGUCUUUUGGGACGAUAAUGACGGUACCAAAGGAGGAAGCCACGGCUAACUACGUGCCAGCAGCCGCGGUAAUACGUAGGUGGCGAGCGUUGUCCGGAUUUACUGGGCGUAAAGGGUGCGUAGGCGGAUGUUUAAGUGAGAUGUGAAAUACCCGGGCUUAACUUGGGUGCUGCAUUUCAAACUGGAUAUCUAGAGUGCAGGAGAGGAGAAUGGAAUUCCUAGUGUAGCGGUGAAAUGCGUAGAGAUUAGGAAGAACACCAGUGGCGAAGGCGAUUCUCUGGACUGUAACUGACGCUGAGGCACGAAAGCGUGGGUAGCAAACAGGAUUAGAU
rnacentral:rRNA from 1 species